rnacentral:rRNA from 1 species
UACAGAGGUCCCAAGCGUUGUUCGGAUUCAUUGGGCGUAAAGGGUGUGUAGGUGGCGCCGUAAGUCGGGUGUGAAAUUUCGGAGCUUAACUCCGAAACUGCAUUCGAUACUGCGGUGCUUGAGGACUGGAGGGGAGACUGGAAUUCAUGGUGUAGCAGUGAAAUGCGUAGAGAUCAUGAGGAAGACCAGUGGCGAAGGCGGGUCUCUGGACAGUUCCUGACACUGAGACACGAAGGCCAGGGGAGCAAACGGG